CAAACGCACAGGUGCGCACAGCCGCUCACCGAUAGCUCCGCCCACUCGGGGCACGUCCGAUUUUGGACCGAAAACUGCGGAAGCAAUAUACGAGGAAAAACUGUUUUAGGUUAUCAGCGUUUCAUCACACCUGUCGAGGUUUGUUUAUGACGAUUCCUCUGUCCUCUUCCUGGUAAUUGAAGUAAAGCAACAGAGGAAAUGUCUUUGGAAGGAAGCAUAUGUCAUGUAAUCUGCUUCUGAAACACGAUGGAAAUUCCCUGCCUCCUGUGGGACACCAGAGAACAAACUGCUAUCUGCCAAAAGUGUAGCCACAAAGACGAGGACAACAACAGAAUUUAGGUCAAUAGGGAUAAAGACACGGUAACCCUGCUGAUCCUGCUAUAGCUUGAUAGAACCAAUAGAUGCACAGUAGACAGGACAGUAGUAGACUCUCGGGUGUAAUUGGAUUACGUUACUGUGUGUAAUGGGGGAGUGUAUGUUGGACCGUCAUGGUGAAGAUGGUUUUCAAAGUUGUGACGGGUUUGACGAUUGGUCCACGUUCAGUUCUGCGGACUGGACAGAACCCCAGCAAGAUGGCAGUGGGGUUUCAGACUGGGGUGCAGUCCAGGACAAAACCAGAAAAGAGGAAUCAUCAACCCUACCUGUGGCAGAAGCAGGAACUUUUGAGUUUCCUGAAAACACUGAAAAUGGCGAUAAGGGAAAUCCCUGGUUUAUUUUUAAUGACUGCUUUCAAGAGGCAGAGACAGAUCCUGUCAUGAUGGAAAUCCCUACAUUGUCUCUGCUACAGCAGAGCGUAUUAGACAAGCCCUCUCAUUCUGCAGCAAUAUCAAGUGAAGCUGCAAAUUUCUGGUGUCAUCUACAGUCUGGGUCCAAAAUUCUCAGACUGUCAGGUCCCAAACCCAAACUACACUCCCAUAAAGGACUGCUCAAAACCCUCCAGCUCAGACAGCCUGACGCAAGCGCUCACUCACAGACCACUACACUUUUAGAUCUUGAACUAGAAGAUCUGGAAGACCCUCCUGGACCACUUAUUCAAACCAAGCUGAUGCCAUCAUCACAGUGUCAGAAUGCACCAGGAUUCUUUUAUCAGAUCUCACGCCAGUGGCUCAGCCAGUACAACAUGAACCUGCUGCCCUACCAGAACAAGAAGGAUCCUCUGCAAUAAUCAACAUCACAUGUACACACACUUACAGUUGCACUGACACACACUACUUCAGAAAAACAAACCUGCAAGGAAAAGUUGUGUCCAAAAAUGAACAUUUUUAUCAUCAUUUACUCAGCUGAUUGUUCCAAGCCCAUUGUAAAUGCAUUGAAAUUAGCUACUAGUGCAUUCUUCAAAACAUCUCAGAAAAUCAUGCAGGUUUGGAAGUAACCGAAAUGAUAACCGAAUUUAAAUUUUUGGGUCCCUUUAAACAAAGUACAAGCUGCCUACUGCCUGCAUUCAUUCAUGUGUAUGGAAACAAGCACAGGCAAGUUUUUCCAAGCACUUUCACAAAUAAAUCCAAGCCUGUUACGAAGCAUGCUUGACAAAAGUACUAGUAUGCACACUAGCUCAGGAUGGAAUUCCUAACUUACUUGAUGUACACACUUUGCCACUGAUCUAACAUAAACCGGAGGCUUUUAACAUAAGCAGAACAAAACCACUGUAAACCUCAAGUACAGGAAGUUAAUGCCGCCAUAUAGUUAUUUAUGUAUUCCACUGUCUGCUGCUGCUGCCUAAGCUCAUGGCUUACUGUUCUUAAAUUAUUAUUGUGAACUGUCAUCUGAAAUCUUUGAAUGUAUUUGGUUUAUUUAUGUUGGAAAUAUUUAAACAAGAAUAUAUGAAUAUACAGCUCUAAAAGUCUGUGUCCUGCACUUUAGAGCAGUUAUUCAAAAUGUAAUAAAAAGAGAAGUUCAAAGCUCUGCAACAGCAUACCUUUAUUUGUUUGUUUGCCCCUUAUGGUUUCUAGGGUAAAUCCAAUUACAAUAAUAGUAAUAAUAAAAUAAAAAAAUCACAG
rnacentral:lncRNA from 1 species